rnacentral:rRNA from 1 species
UACGAAGGGUGCGAGCGUUGUUCGGAAUUAUUGGGCGUAAAGGGUUUGUAGGCGGAAUGGUAAGUCGUGUGUGAAACCCCCGAGCUAAACUUGGGACGUGCAUACGAGACUGCGGUUCUUGAGUAUCGUAGAGGGUGGUGGAAUUGUAGGUGUAGGAGUGACAUCCGUAGAGAUCUGCAGGAACAUCGGAGGCGAAGGCGGCCACCUGGACGAAGACUGACGCUGAGGAACGAAAGCGUGGGGAGCAAACAGG